rnacentral:rRNA from 1 species
UACAGAGGGGGGCAAGCGUUGUCCGGAAUCAUUGGGCGUAAAGCGCGUGUAGGCGGCCCGAUAAGUCCGCUGUGAAAGUCGGGGGGCUCAACCCUCGGAUGCCGGUGGAUACUGUCGGGCUUGAGUACGGAAGAGGCGAGUGGAAUUCCUGAUGUAGCGGUGAAAUGCGCAGAUAUCAGGAGGAACACCAAUUGCGAAGGCAGCUCGCUGGGACGUUACUGACGCUGAGACGCGAAAGCGUGGGGAGCAAACAGG